CCUACGGGGGGCAGCAGUGGGGAAUAUUGGGCAAUGGACGCAAGUCUGACCCAGCGAUGCCGCGUGAAGGAUGGAAGGCCCUCGGGUUGUAAACUUCUUUAGACAGGGAAGAAAGAAAUGACAUUACCUGUAGAAUAAGCCACGGCUAACUACGUGCCAGCAGCCGCGGUAAUACGUAGGUGGCGAGCGUUAUCCGGAAUUACUGGGUGUAAAGGGCGCGUAGGCGGGUAUGCAAGUUGGAUGUGAAAUUCCGGGGCUUAACUCCGGAUUGUCAUCUAAAACUGUGUAUCUUGAGUGUCAGAGGGGAAAGUGGAAUUCCUAGUGGAGUGGUAAAAUGCGUAGAUAUUAGGAGGAACAUCGGUGGCGAAGGCGACUUUCUGGCUGACAACUGACGCUGAGGCGCGAAAGCGUGGGUAGCGAACAGGAUUAGAUACCCUGGUAGUCCACGCCGUAAACGCUGAUUACUAGGUGUAGGGGGUAUAGACUCCCUCUGUGCCGCAGUUAACGCAUUAAGUAAUCCACCUGGGGAGUACGGCCGCAAGGUUAAAACUCAAAGGAAUUGACGGGGGCCCGCACAAGCAGUGGAGUAUGUGGUUUAAUUCGAAGCAACGCGAAGAACCUUACCAGGGCUUGACAUCCUCGGACGACACUAGAGAUAGUGUUUUCUCUUCGGAGACUGAGAGACAGGUGGUGCAUGGUUGUCGUCAGCUCGUGUCGUGAGAUGUUCGGUUAAGUCCGGCAACGAGCGCAACCCUUAUUGUUAGUUGCCAUCAUUUAGUUGGGCACUCUAGCGAGACUGCCGUUGACAAAACGGAGGAAGGUGGGGACGACGUCAAAUCAUCAUGCCCCUUAUGUCCUGGGCUACACACGUACUACAAUGGUAACAACAGCGAGCAGCGA
rnacentral:rRNA from 1 species